rnacentral:rRNA from 1 species
CCCUAUUAUUUUUAAUUUAAACUAUUACCUAAAAACAGAUAUUUUCUUUAAAUUUAAAGAAUUUGGCGGUAAUUUAAUCUAACUAGAGGAACAUGUUCUGUAAUCGAUGCAACACGUUUAAUUUCACUUAAUUUAAAGUUUGUAUACCUUCAUUAUCAAAUAAUACUUAAAGGUAGUUAUUACAUUUGAUUCAAUUAAAAAAAUUAGAUCACGGUGCAGCUUAUAAAUAAGGAAGAAUGGGUUACAAUAAAAUUAUUUAUUACGAAUUAUAAACUGAAAUUUUUAUAUGAAGGAGGAUUUAGUUGUAUUUUUAAUUUAACAAAUUAAAAAGAUAUAAGUUCUAAAUUGUGUACAC